GACGAACGCUGGCGGCGUGCCUAAUACAUGCAAGUAGAACGCAGUUGCGAACGGGUGAGUAACGCGUAGGUAACCUGCCCUCCUUUUUGGGUUAAGCCUUGGAAACGGGGUCUAAUACCGGAUAAAGGGGGAUGGGCUAGCGGCCUAUCAGCUUGUUGGUGGGGUGAUGGCCUACGAAGGCGGUGACGGGUAGCCGGCCUGAGAGGGUGACUGGCCACAUAGGAACUGCGAUACGGCCCAGACUCCAACGGGUGGCAGCAGUGGGGGAUAGUGCACAAUGGGCGAAAGCCUGAUGCAGCGACGCCGCGUGGGGGAGGAAGGCUUUCGGGUUGUAAACCUCGUUCGCUAUCGAAAGGGUAGGUGGAGAAGAAGCGCCGGCUAACUACGUGCCAGCAGCCGCGGUAAUUC
rnacentral:rRNA from 1 species